GAAGGCAAGGGUUUAAAAAAAAGAAACUGCUUAACAGAUACUGAGGAAAAAAACAGCCACUAAUCAUAGCACCAAGACUCAGCAGAACAAAAGUUUCCCCAGUCUUAUUGAGGAAACCUCUCGUUUUCAGAUUUUUUUUCUUCUACUAUUUACCUGAGGUCAAGUGAUUUGUCCAGAGUCACAUGGUCACUAUGCCAAGGGGACCAUCUCGGAGGAAAGAUCUAAAUCCAGAUAUCCCAUGAUGCUUUUUACUGAGCUUAUUAACAAUAACAGCAAUGCAAAGUCAUUCCAUGUUGAUGACAUACUUUCAUGGAAAAUGUAAAGUUCCAGAGACAAAAAGAGUAUGUCAGACAGCGUCCAUUCAUUCUUCUUUCCAAAGCAUUGUGAGUGUCAAGAUUAAAAAUUUCUAAAGUCUGUA